rnacentral:rRNA from 1 species
UACGUAGGGUGCAAGCGUUGUCCGGAAUCAUUGGGCGUAAAGCGCGCGUAGGUGGUCAUGUAAGUCCGCUGUGAAAGUCAAAGGCUCAACCUUUGAAAGCCGGUGGAUACUGCAUGACUAGAGUACGGAAGAGGCGAGUGGAAUUCCUGGUGUAGCGGUGGAAUGCGCAGAUAUCAGGAGGAACACCAAUUGCGAAGGCAGCUCGCUGGGACGUUACUGACGCUGAGACGCGAAAGCGUGGGGAGCAAACAGG